rnacentral:rRNA from 1 species
CAGUAGCCGCGGUAAUACGUAGGUGGCAAGCGUUGUCCGGAAUUAUUGGGCGUGAAGGGCUCGCAGGCGGUUUCUUAAGUCUGAUGUGAAAGCCCCCGGCUCAACCGGGGAGGGUCAUUGGAAACUGGGAAACUUGAGUGCAGAAGAGGAGAGUGGAAUUCCACGUGUAGCGGUGAAAUGCGUAGAGAUGUGGAGGAACACCAGUGGCGAAGGCGACUCUCUGGUCUGUAACUGACGCUGAGGAGCGAAAGCGUGGGGAGCGAACAGGAUUAGAUACCCCUGUAGUCCCUGUCUCUUAUAC